GAGGGUAUAGCUCAGUGGUGGAGUGUGUGCUUAGCAUGCAUGAGGUCCUGGGUUCAAUCCCGAGUACCUCCA
rnacentral:tRNA from 1 species